GAAGGCCUAUGAGGAAUCUAACGAUGCUGUGAAGCAAGCUGAAGCCACAGGCAAGACGGUGGAUGAGUCAUCUGGCCUGCGGCAAAAUGCUCUGGACAUGCAGAACAGGGUCCAACCAGACAACACGAAAGUCCUGGACAAACUGGAGAACCAGCUGGCCACUAAGCCCAAUCUCACACCAACCGCGGUCCAGGUGUGUGGAAGCACUCGAACCGACCCCUGCACCCCAGAGCAGUGUGAUGGCGAGCUGUGCUCUCCCGACGCUGCCUUAUCCUGCCUGCAGGGGGCGACGUGCGUGGGUGCUCUCCCUACUGGAGGCAAGGCUCAGAGGGACACUGAGGAGGUGAAGGGCAAGCUACAGGAGCUCAGCCAGAACAUCACAGAGGCCAGUGCACAGAUGAAGGAAACCCAGGAGGUGGCCAAUCAGGUGCGACUGACAGCCGAUGAGCAGAGCAAUCAGAUCAGAAAGGCUCGUGAUGAGCUGGAAGCGGAUUUGCAGGAGACCAGAGAUUUUAUGAGGCAGCUGAAAGAGUUUCUAUCUGGUACAACCUCCUGUAUUUCAAUCUGUCUGUGUGUCAUUUUAUGAAAUUGUCUUGUUUUAUCUAUAUAUAUAUCUAUCUAUCUAUCUAUCUAUCUAUCUAUCUAUCUAUCUAUCUGUCUGUCUGUCUGUCUGCCUGUCUGUCUGUCUGUCUGUCUGUAUAUCUGUCCAUUCAUUCAUCCAUAUAUCAACCACCCCACCCUGCUCUCUCUGUAGACCCCAGAACAGAUCCUAACCACAUUAAGGAGGUGAGUGAGGAGAUCCUGAACGCUAAGCUUCCUCUCAGCCGGGACGCCCUGAAAAGGAAGCUGGAAGAGCUCCAGAGUCUGGCUGAUGGCCUGUCCAACAAUUCCAAUGUUCUGGAGGAGAGCCAACACCAGCUGGACCAGGCCGAGAAGCUUCUGGAGAGGGGCGAACUUAGUGAGACGAAAGCUGCGCUGCAGCAGUACUUGGACCGCAUGGUGGACGGGAUGGAGGAUUUGGAGAAGACUUUGGAGGAGUUGGAGGAGAGAUACAUGGCGACUGAGCCCAUCCGUCAAGGCUUCAACCCCGCAAAUGUUGAACCUGAAUUGGAUGCAGCUGAUGGCACCCUGCAGGAGGUGGAGGACACAGUUGGCACCAGGAUCCCCGAGGAAAUGAAUAACCUGAAGGAUCAGCUCGAGGACAAUGACGAACUGGCACAAACAGUUCUUUUAGUCGCACUGGAGGCUCAGACUGCGGCUGAUGGCAUCACUGAGGACCUUGUGGCUUUGGAGGACCAACUAGAGAAGCUGAGAAAAGCAGGUGAGGAUGCUGGGGACGCAGGCGAGGCAGGCGAGACCCUGGGGAAGCUCAAGGACGAUGCCGCCAAGCUGCUACUGGACACGGCAGACAUCAUGCAGACCUUAGAUGAAAAAGAGUCUUCCAUCAAACAGGCUGUGGAUGAAUUCAACCAGAAGUCCUUACUGCUGGCUGGGCUGGACACUAAGCUCCAGGAGCUUGUUAAAGACAUCCAACAGAAGGCCCACUUUCACAGCAGUUGUAUAGGAUAA
ensembl:lncRNA